CUUGAUCGAGCCGAGCCACAGCGGAUCACCGGCACGGUCCUGCCCGUAGGUGGCCAGCAGCGCCUGCGCCUC
rnacentral:antisense_RNA from 1 species